UACGGAGGGAGCUAGCGUUGUUCGGAAUUACUGGGCGUAAAGCGCGCGUAGGCGGCUUUGUAAGUUAGAGGUGAAAGCCCGGGGCUCAACCCCGGAACUGCCUUUAAAACUGCAUCGCUUGAAUCCGGGAGAGGUGAGUGGAAUUCCGAGUGUAGAGGUGAAAUUCGUAGAUAUUCGGAAGAACACCAGUGGCGAAGGCGGCUCACUGGCCCGGAACUGACGCUGAGACGCGAAAGCGUGGGGAGCAAACAGG
rnacentral:rRNA from 1 species